UCCAAAUUCCGAUCUUCACCCCACCAAAAUUAAGGGCCCGUUCGGACUUUUUCAAUAAAAAGUCCUUUUCUCUUAAAAGGAACGAAGAACGGCCUCAAUUUCAGAAAAAAAUUCGCCAUCGGAGAAAUGCUUUUCUCCAGAUGAAAAAGUUAAAAUUUUCUCCUUUUCUUCAGCCAAAAGUGCUUUUGGCUGGUAAUUUCCAUUUUUCUCCCCCAAAAACCGUUCUUCCCUCUGGUUUUUUGCCUGAGAUAUCAAGUUUUUUGCCUUUGUUUCUUUUCCUUUUAGUUAUUUUCUGAUUUUUAGAGUUUAGCAAAAAUUUUACAGAAAUUUUACAUUCUUCGAUUGUUCACCCUCUCUCUAUUGAAUUUGCUUCUGGGUUCCGAACCCCAACGCAUGGAUUCUGUUAAAACUGCUUUGUUUAAUAGGCACAGUAAUUACAGAUGAGCCCCAAUUGAUUAGCAUCAUCGUUUACGACACCGACCAGGAUAGAAUGCAAAACACUGUCGCCAAGGUUGCCGUGGUGGGAAGCGGAAGUAUCCAUACUUACUAUCUACUAUAAUAUCCCACUUUCUCUUUCUCCACCCACUAAUAAACAAAAAUUAAAACCCCACUCCUCUGAUCUUUUUUUUUAGAUUUAUUAUUAUCAUUAUUUUGUUAACUUUAAAAACUUGAAAUUCACAGUUUCAGGGUCUGUUUGUGCCGCUACUUUGGCAAGGAAUGGAAUUUCAGUGACCCUUUUUGACUCUACCAGGGGUCCUGGUGGCCGCAUGUCUCAAAGAAGGAUCCUUUUUUGUUUCUCUCCACUUAUUUUUUUAUUAAAAAUUCAUUUUUUUGACAAAUUUUGACUGCCCUUUUUUAUAUUCUAUUAUUUGCUGGUGUUUUGGGAAGCAGAAAUAAAAUUUUAAAGUGCAUAGUUUAAUGAAUUUUUUGUUGUUUUUGGUAAUAUGUAACUUUGGGAAUUUAGAGAGAAGUGAAGAUGGGAGAGAGCUGUUAUUCGAUCAUGGUGCUCCUUAUUUCACAGUGACAAAUCCCGAUGUGUUGAGUGUUGUUACUGAGUGGGAAUCAAGAGGCCUUGUUGCUGAAUGGAAAUCGAAUUUUAGGUCUUUUGAUUGUUUCACCAACAAAAUUGUCAACAUUGAACACCAGGUUCUUGUAACUAUUAUUAUACUAUUUGUUCUUCACUUCUUUUUGCUCCACCUAAUGGUACUAUUAUUUGUUUAUUUGCAUGGUUUUAUCUUAAUUAUAUCUUAACUUGCUUAUGAGGAGAGGGCAACGAUGUUUUUGAAUUGCUUAUGUGCAUGAAUGAUGCUUUUUUCUUGAUUUCUUAGAAGCUUGGAACUACUAUUUUUUUUUUUGAAGUUAAUAGGAUACUGUUAAACGUUAAUGAUCCUUGCUAUAGUUGCUUCGUAAGUGCUUGCUUGCUAUAUUGUUCUUUUUUAUGUUCAUGCACUCUUCAGCUUGAUUCACUUGUAGGGUUCUUUCAUUUAACCCUUCAUCAGCUUAGGCUGUUUAUGAUUGUAUUAUGUUUUCAAUUAAAAGGUCAGCAUAUCUAUGUAAAGUGUUGCAUAGUUGGUCAACGUCCAGCUCCAAUAUUGAUUCUGAUGUUUAUAUUAUAUUAUAUAUAUAUAUAUAUAUAUUCUCACAGAUGCCCAUUUUUAGACAAAUAAAAACUGGUGAUAUGUUUUAAACUCUACUGUUUGGUAUUAUUGCUUUAGUUCUCUGUUUGAUACACUGGAAAUUCUAAAAUCUAGAGAAAGAUUAGCUGCUUUAGAAGUGGGACUACUUGCUACAGUUGGUGUUACUAUGGUGAAGGUUAAAUUCUCUAAUUAGGCUUGAAGGUUCUUCCUGAAGCACCUCCCUUCCUAAAGACGGAUCCAGUUCGGCCAGAAUUUUAUCGUGCUACUAUCAGAUGGGAGGCUAAUGAUGGAUCGGGGAGUGCAGGGUAAAUUUAGAGUUAUAGUUUCCUUGAUCAUAGGUCUCCUCACUUUUUCGAUUUGUUGUUCAGUUAGAUCCUUCUUGGACCUAAUUUAUCUGCAAGUGUCAUGGUUUUUGCUAUUUUAUUCUACUUUGUAAUGCUAUUAUAAUUGUGUUAAGAAGCAAUUUGUUUCUUUCGGAUUUUAGAUUUGUCGCUGAGAGCACUGGUCACCAAAUGAGUAGUCGGCUUCUGAGUAUGAAGUCAGCUAAUGCUUUGAAGUUAUGUUUGGUCAUAAUCCGUAAAGAAACUUUCUUGCUAAAUGAGGAAAAAGUAUGAAGCAGGGUAUUUUUAUUUCGCUGCAUAUGCAGUGGACUUGCCUUUCUAGGGGUGCCUGUUUGUAUACAUGUCAUAUGGGGGUUAAGGAUGCCAUAGUGAGGCGACACUACUAUGCUGGCGAGUAAGAUGAGAGCCACUGGCUGACAAUUUCUUAUUUCCUUUGGAUGCUCAACACAUAUGACAUGCUGCAAAAUUGUUUCUUGCCAAUGAUUUAUUUUAUGUUCUUAUGAGCAAAGUUCGACUCUGAUCUUUGAUGUAGUUUUAUGUCAUUAUCAUGAAAUUUAGGUAGAACCUAAGAACUAUUUCUUUGUUUAUGAGGCUACUUUGUUAGUGGCUUAUAGGCAAUGAUUUUUUCUAGAUGUGUAUUAUUCAACCAUCUAUUUAUACACUUUCUGUACUUUAUUUACAAAAAUAGCAGUAUGUUACUCCACGGUAGACACUUUAGUUCCA